rnacentral:rRNA from 1 species
GAUGAACGCUGGCGGCGUGCCUAAUACAUGCAAGUCGAGCGAACGGACGAGAAGCUUGCUUCUCUGAUGUUAGCGGCGGACGGGUGAGUAACACGUGGAUAACCUACCUAUAAGACUGGGAUAACUUCGGGAAACCGGAGCUAAUACCGGAUAAUAUUUUGAACCGCAUGGUUCAAAAGUGAAAGACGGUCUUGCUGUCACUUAUAGAUGGAUCCGCGCUGCAUUAGCUAGUUGGUAAGGUAACGGCUUACCAAGGCAACGAUGCAUAGCCGACCUGAGAGGGUGAUCGGCCACACUGGAACUGAGACACGGUCCAGACUCCUACGGGAGGCAGCAGUAGGGAAUCUUCCGCAAUGGGCGAAAGCCUGACGGAGCAACGCCGCGUGAGUGAUGAAGGUCUUCGGAUCGUAAAACUCUGUUAUUAGGGAAGAACAUAUGUGUAAGUAACUGUGACAUCUUGACGGUACCUAAUCAGAAAGCCACGGCUAACUACGUG